UGUCGAGUGGGGUACCAGAGCCAGGAGUUCCAAAAAUCUUCGAGAACUUGGUGUGAAUAUCCUGUGUAAUCCUUUGGCUGUACUGGAAUGGGAUUUGCAGUGGCAUUGAUUAUCGGAUGCAAUAUUUGUUGCGGUCUGGAAUACGUGUGGGCAUUAUUUCUUCGGCAAGUGAUGAACG